GUGCGGAAGCACAGGGCCCGGGCCUGCCCCUGCCUGGGCUUGUGAAAGCCAGCAAGCAGCACCCAGAGAAGCGUUGGGGCCCGGAUGCCACCAACGGCUCCUGUCACCAUCAGGGCUUCAAGAUGCCCCAACUACUGCCUCCCAGGCUGGGAGGAGGGGCAUCUGGGGGGAUUCCAGUGACCAGAACAGUUCCACGAGGCUCAUCAGCCUCAACACCUCCCUGACAUCCUCAACAAAGCCAGAAGCACAGAUGGGUCUACUACGAGGUACAGGACUAGGUCCAUAAACGAUGUACAGCGACACAGAGAGGACCAGGGCCCAGCAGACACUGUGCUGUUGGACGUGGCAGCCACUGACCACGUGUCAGGCCUGAGCAUCUGAAAUGCAGCUAUGGAGACUGAAGAACUCUAUGGUUUUUGUUUUAUUAAAUCUCAAUUAAUUUAGAU